AAUGAACGCUGGCGGCGUGCCUAACACAUACAAGUCGGAUGUGCCGCAAGGUGCAUGGCAGACGGGUGAGUAACGCGUGGGGAAUCUACCUCUUUGUGGGGAAUAACGCUCCGAAAGGAGUGGUAAUACCGCAUGAGACCGUGAGCUGGGACGCUCGCGGUGAAACCUGGGGACCGGCAACGGCCUGGGGCAAGGAGAGGAUCCUGCGUCUGAUUAGCUAGUUGGCGGGGUAAUGGCCCUCCAAGGCGACGAUCGGUAGCCGGACUGAGAGGUUGAACGGCCACAUUGGGGA
rnacentral:rRNA from 1 species